rnacentral:lncRNA from 1 species
UACAAUUAAUUUGGCCGUAGCAUAUAUUUAUAAUACAUGUCUACUAAAUAGAGUCUAAUACUAAUUCAAUUAGAAAUUAGAUUCCGACUCAUAAUCCAUGUAUGCCAAAUUAAAUCUAAAUUAUAUUCAAUCCCAAUUAGAUUAGGAUUUAAUUCCAGUUUAGAUAACUACAAAUCUAAACCAAAUAUAACAAUAUUUAAAAUAACUUUUAUUCUCUAAAAAGUUAACUCAAUCGAAAAUGAUGUUUUAAUUAAAUAUUUUUAUGUUUAACACUUUUCUCCUCACCUAAAAGCUUGCUCU